rnacentral:rRNA from 1 species
GGGACACGUGGUAUCCUGUCUGAAUAUGGGGGGACCAUCCUCCAAGGCUAAAUACUCCUGACUGACCGAUAGUGAACCAGUACCGUGAGGGAAAGGCGAAAAGAACCCCGGCGAGGGGAGUGAAAAAGAACCUGAAACCGUGUACGUACAAGCAGUGGGAGCCUCUUUUAUGGGGUGACUGCGUACCUUUUGUAUAAUGGGUCAGCGACUUAUAUUCUGUAGCAAGGUUAACCGAAUAGGGGAGCCGAAGGGAAACCGAGUCUUAACUGGGCGUUAAGUUGCAGGGUAUAGACCCGAAACCCGGUGAUCUAGCCAUGGGCAGGUUGAAGGUUGGGUAACACUAACUGGAGGACCGAACCGACUAAUGUUGAAAAAUUAGCGGAUGACUUGUGGCUGGGGGUGAAAGGCCAAUCAAACCGGGAGAUAGCUGGUUCUCCCCGAAAGCUAUUUAGGUAGCGCCUCGUGAAUUCAUCUCCGGGGGUAGAGCACUGUUUCGGCAAGGGGGUCAUCCCGACUUACCAACCCGAUGCAAACUGCGAAUACCGGAGAAUGUUAUCACGGGAGACACACGGCGGGUGCUAACGUCCGUCGUGAAGAGGGAAACAACCCAGACCGCCAGCUAAGGUCCCAAAGUCAUGGUUAAGUGGGAAACGAUGUGGGAAGGCCCAGACAGCCAGGAUGUUGGCUUAGAAGCAGCCAUCAUUUAAAGAAAGCGUAAUAGCUCACUGGUCGAGUCGGCCUGCGCGGAAGAUGUAACGGGGCUAAACCAUG